UAAAACUUUGCCAGAGAACCCAGCAGGAUUCACCAGCACGGCCACUGCAGACUCCAGAGCCCUGCUUCAGGCCUAUAUAGACGGUCACUCUGUGGUCAUCUUCAGUAGGUCCACAUGCACACGCUGUACUGAGGUAAAGAAGUUAUUUAAAUCUCUGUGUGUUCCUUAUUUUGUGCUUGAACUUGAUCAAACAGUCAAAAGCCUGCUGAAGUGCCAGUUGAAUUUGAAGCUUGAGUGAGUGCCCAUUAUGGGAAAGGCACUGUGCCAGAUGCCAGGAGACAAGGUCUUGCUAUGUUGUACACACUAGUCUUGAACUGCUGGCCUGAAGCAAUCCUCCUGCCUCAGCCUCCCAACAUGCUGGGAUUACAGGUCAAUGUUUCCUGCUUUAAGUGGAGUACAGAAUAUGUGGACAGCUAGGUUCAGCAAGGGUGGGCCUUGCCAUGUCAACGCGACUGAGAAGCUUGGACUUCAUAUUGAGGGCCCUAGAGAGCUACUGAAGGUU
rnacentral:sRNA from 1 species